rnacentral:rRNA from 1 species
AUUGAACGCUGGCGGCAUGCUUUACACAUGCAAGUCGAACGGUAACAGGGUGCUUGCACCGCUGACGAGUGGCGAACGGGUGAGUAAUGCAUCGGAACGUACCCAGUCGUGGGGGAUAACGUAGCGAAAGUUACGCUAAUACCGCAUACGUCCUGAGGGAGAAAGCGGGGGACCGUAAGGCCUCGCGCGAUUGGAGCGGCCGAUGUCGGAUUAGCUAGUUGGUAGGGUAAAGGCCUACCAAGGCGACGAUCCGUAGCGGGUCUGAGAGGAUGGUCCGCCACACUGGAACUGGGAGACGGUCCGGACUCCUACGGGGGGCAGCAGUGGGGAAUUUUGGACAAUGGGCGAAAGCCUGAUCCAGCCAUGCCGCGUGAGUGAAGAAGGCCUUCGGGUUGUAAAGCUCUUUCAGCCGGAAAGAAAUCGCGCAGGAUAUUACUCUGCGUGGAUGACGGUACCGGAAGAAGAAGCACCGGCUAACUACGUGCCAGCAGCCGCCGUAAAAC